rnacentral:rRNA from 1 species
UACGUAGGUGGCAAGCGUUAUCCGGAAUUAUUGGGCGUAAAGAGCGCGCAGGUGGUUAAUUAAGUCUGAUGUGAAAGCCCGCGGCUUAACCGUGAAGGGUCAUUGGAAACUGGUUGACUUGAGUGCAGAAGAGGGAAGUGGAAUUCCAUGUGUAGCGGUGAAAUGCGUAGAGAUAUGGAGGAACACCAGUGGCGAAGGCGGCUUCCUGGUCUGUAACUGACACUGAGGCGCGAAAGCGUGGGGAGCAAACAGG